rnacentral:pre_miRNA from 1 species
AAAAAGGCAAACCCUGAGUUUCCGUGUCCAACUUUGACUAUCCGUCUUAUAUGAAAUUUUUUUAUAAUUCGUAUUUUCAUUGUUGUUAGAUGAUAAAACAUGAUUAAUAUUUUAUGCGUGACUUGUCUUUUUAUUUUUUUUCAUAUUUUUUUCAAAUAAGACGGACGGUCAAACGUUGGACACGGAAACCAGGGUUUGUCUUUUU